AGUCGAACGGCAGCGCGGGGCAACCUGGGCGGCGAGUGGCGAACGGGUGAGUAAUAUAUCGGAACGUACCCUGGAGUGGGGGAUAACGUAGCGAAAGUUACGCUAAUACCGCAUACGAUCUAAGGAUGAAAGUGGGGGCUUCGCAAGAACCUCAUGCUCCUGGAGCGGCCGAUAUCUGAUUAGCUAGUUGGUGGGGUAAAGGCUCACCAAGGCUUCGAUCAGUAGCUGGUCUGAGAGGACGACCAGCCACACUGGAACUGAGACACGGUCCAGACUCCUACGGGAGGCAGCAGUGGGGAAUUUUGGACAAUGGGCGCAAGCCUGAUCCAGCAAUGCCGCGUGAGUGAAGAAGGCCUUCGGGUUGUAAAGCUCUUUUGUCAGGGAAGAAACGGUGAAGGCUAAUAUCCUUUGCUAAUGACGGUACCUGAAGAAUAAGCACCGGCUAACUACGUGCCAGCAGCCGCGGUAAUACGUAGGGUGCAAGCGUUAAUCGGAAUUACUGGGCGUAAAGCGUGCGCAGGCGGUUUUGUAAGUUUGUCGUGAAAGCCCCGGGCUCAACCUGGGAAUUGCGAUGAAGACUGCAAGGCUUGAAUCUGGCAGAGGGGGGUAGAAUUCCACGUGUAGCAGUGAAAUGCGUAGAGAUGUGGAGGAACACCGAUGGCGAAGGCAGCCCCCUGGGUCAAGAUUGACGCUCAUGCACGAAAGCGUGGGGAGCAAACAGGAUUAGAUACCCUGGUAGUCCACGCCCUAAACGAUGUCUACUAGUUGUCGGGUUUUAAUUAACUUGGUAACGCAGCUAACGCGUGAAGUAGACCGCCUGGGGAGUACGGUCGCAAGAUUAAAACUCAAAGGAAUUGAC
rnacentral:rRNA from 1 species